CCUACUUACAAAAACAGGUGGCUGGCUCAGACUGUAGUUUGCUAACCCUGAGAACUUGACAGCAAAAAGAAGAGAUAAAUAGUAGUUAAAACAUAAAGCAGAAUCAAAUAAAUUUUUUUCCAUAUAGGUGAGAUCUGAUAAUGUUUUUAGGUAGAAAGGAAGAAACUUGUGAAGCAGGAGAGACUAAACCUGUUUGAUGUUUUUGGUUGGGGGCCAGGUUAGAGAUAGGUUCAGGUGUAUGUGUUGUUGAAUUAUUCCUAAAAGGGAAGAGAGACACCAGUAAUUGCAAAAUCAUCAAAUAUUUAUAGAGGUAGAGGAGAAAGAAUAAAUUCAGAUGCGUCGAGGUAGAUGAGAGAACCUAUGAGGAUUUGUUUGAUUUCCUUGGGAAAAUGAAAGCAGAAGUAGGAGAGGGCAGGGGAUAAUUGGAAGCUUAGAAUGGGGAAAGGAUGUCUGUGCUGUGGGGAAUACUUUCAGGCAGUUGUUACCAGUACUUUGAAGAUGACAACUUGUUUAACCUCGAAACAAUUUGUGGACCACCCCAUGAUUGUAGUUACAUUUUUAGUAUUCAUCAAUGAAGAAUAUGCAUAUUAGAAAAAAGCUACUACUCAGUUCUCUCUUAGAUGUCUUUGUAUUUUAUUAACCACAACAUUGACUGCACAUUUGAAAAAUGUUAAUACAUGUAUGUGAGAAAUUGUCUUUAUGUAAUGCAAUGCCCUGGGUACCCACUGAGAUAACUAAUUUAACAGCUUCCCAGGAGGCUGAAAGCUCAUAAGUUAGAAAUCAUUGCGUUCUAAUGAAUCAACAAUAAGAGAAUAAAGGAUUGCUUAGAAGUAGUAUUCUGUCAAAAUUAAAAUGAACUUAUAAUGAACUCACUUUGAAGGAUUCCAUAACUUUUUAUUCAGUAGUACUUAGCAGCUUUGAGCAAGAUGACAGAAACAAAAUGAUCUAGGGUUAGGCAUAACAUUAUAUAGAAGGCCAGAAUAAACAUUUAGCUUAUUCUUUCUCUAAAUUACCUUUUCCUGAGAUCACACCCAGUUUCAUUAAUCACUUCUCUAUUUAUGGUGAUCAAAUUGGCAUCUCAUUUUCUUAACCAUUUUGUUGAUUUCAUGUUCCCCAUUUACACCUUACUGAAUAUUUCCAUUUGAGUAUCUUACUGUUUCACAUUUAACCUACUGAAAAGCUUCUUAUCUUUCCUUUGAAACGAGUUAUCUGCUGAUUUCUACUUGGAGUAGAGAAUAUACAGAGAUGCUGAAGUUGAUGGGAAAAUGUGGAUAGGUUGGGAAAAACAUGAAUUAGGUGUGGGAGUCAUUGAAGAAAUUGAACAGUAUCAUGACUGGUAAAUGAUGGUGAUGAGAAAGUAGAGAAAACCUACUGUUUGCUCAUACCAUUUGUUUUUUAAAUUUUAGCCAAAUAAAAUGAAAUUCUGCAUUUUUGAAAAUUAACUUGACUCUUAUACACUCUUACAGAUAUUCAAAUAUAUGUUCUCUAUUUUGUUUCCUUAAUCCAAUAAUGUUGUAAUCCUAUUUCUUUCCAAUGAAUAAGCAAUAUGUUCAAUACCAAUGCCCAUUUAAGUGUGCUGUUACUCUCUAAUCAUUAUUAUUCCUUUCAUAAAUAGAUCUGGGCAUAGGAACCAACCAGAAACAAUCGCUUCAGCAAUCAAGACCAUUGUUCAUCAUGGAGGAACCCAUAGAUACCUCUGAGCCUCUAUCUGCAUUACCAUUCACUGGGCAGCAGUCUUUUGAGCCAAGUGGCAAAUUUGGACAGUAUCCAUCCAAUGCAGAUGAACCACAUCCAGGCACUGGGGAGGUGGAGGACAUAGAACAGCUCAAUCAGUGUUUGAUCCAACACUUCCAUCUCAUUAAGACAAGUUUGAUUUUUCUUUGCUUUUUAUUUCAUGGAAUACAUGAGAAUCUCUUAACUGUUGGAGUUUCCAAGGAGGCAUACCUCAUGACUUCAGUUAAUGGAAAGAACAAAACUAAAAUGCUGUAUGGCCAAAGCCACAAAGGGAAGGAUCCGCAAUUUACAUCCUUGGAGCUAUUAUCUGUACUGUACUGUUGUGAUCUACUGAUUGGCAUUGGCAUAGUAGUAGGGGUCAAGUGACAGAAUCCGUGCCAACAGUCUCCAGGUUCAGAAGCAAUUCAAGACCGUGACGAUAGCUCUCCAGCAACCAACACGUGGUGAUUGUGCCAAUUUGUUGCUCAGUUAUAAUGCAGGGCCAGUGAUUGAUUGGCUUAAGUCAAGACCAUGGUUGAGAUCAUUUGUCUUUGGUCUAAUAGAAUUUGAGUCUAGUAGAAUUUGAGGCUCCAGGGAAAGAGCUAUUUGACCAAAUUAAACCAGUAGCAGGUAGAGCGUGAAUGACAGCAUAUUAUACCAUCAAGAUAUUCUUAGAGCAGUGUAUGGAUGGAUCGAGUGUACUGCCAUCAGUUGUGACUGACAUUGUUGUAUUCAAGGAGAAAGAGAAACUUGUUUAGAAAGCACUUUGAAAGUUUUUUGACUACGGGGGUGCCCUGUAUCACCCCGUUAUGGUUGAACUUUCUCCUUCAAAAUUACCAGACUUGGCAGCAGUGGCAAAUUAUUGGGCUAAAAGAUUUAAUCAGACAUAUUCUGGGUUCAAGGCUCCUAAUAUAAUACCUGGUGCGAACAUUAUACUUCCACUCAUUCAGAUGGUUCCAUCCCGCCAGGCAUCCAGUGGGACUGGGAAUAUGGACACUUGAACAUUAAACAUCCUGAAGAAUUUUGGAAUGACAGGUUACAAGUGAACAUAAUCAGUUCUCUAUAUU
rnacentral:lncRNA from 1 species